UACGUAGGGCGCGAGCGUUGUCCGGAAUUAUUGGGCGUAAAGAGCUCGUAGGCGGCUUGUUGCGUCUGCUGUGAAAUCCCGGGGCUUAACCCCGGGCGUGCAGUGGAUACGGGCAGGCUGGAGGCAGGCAGGGGAGAAUGGAAUUCCCGGUGUAGCGGUGAAAUGCGCAGAUAUCGGGAGGAACACCGGUGGCGAAGGCGGUUCCCUGGGCCUGUUCUGACGCUGAGGAGCGAAAGCGUGGGGAGCGAACAGG
rnacentral:rRNA from 1 species